rnacentral:tRNA from 1 species
AAAGAUUUAGUAUAAAUGUAGUAUAAUUCAUUGUCUGUGAUUGGGUUUUUAUCUUUU